rnacentral:tRNA from 1 species
CGGCCCGUCGCAGCAAUGGCCGCGCGCCGGGCGCUACUUGCCAUCCACGUGUAAGCAAGCAACCCGUUGCCCGGUGAACCCGGUCAGAGGUUCGAAUCCUCUCGGGCGUACCA